GUAGGUGAACCUGCGGAGGGAUCAUUAACACGUGCCAAAACACGCUUUAAACCAAUCGCUCUGUGAACACAAACCCAACUCCCUUCAUAUUAUGGACGAUCGAAUAACCAUCAGGGUAGAGGAUGUGCAUGGGGACAAUCAGCUUCGGCUGACUCGUCAUGUCGUCACUAUGGCUCGAUCUAGGGUACCUCGAGUAUCCAAUCCUAUAUGAAGUGUCUGCGCGACUACCUGGCAGUGUGCCUUUCGAGGUCUAGUACUGAGAUUGUGCAAGCGUUCUGCCGAAUCUAUUUAACAAAUUUUUAACCCCAUUAACACAUACUAAUAACUGAACCAUGUUCAUGAAAUCGCUUGUGUGCUUCGGUAUACAUGAAAUGAUACAUGAUACGAUAUACGUAAUGCUGAACAACUCUUAGCAAUGGAUAUCUUGGUUCUC
rnacentral:misc_RNA from 1 species